rnacentral:rRNA from 1 species
UGUGGGGGGUAUAGAUCUCCUCCGUGCCGAAGCUAACGCGUUAAGCAUCCCGCCUGGGGAUUACGGCUGCAAGGUCUUAACUCAGACGAAUUGACGGGGGCCCGGACAAGCAUCUGAGCGUGUGGUUUAAUUCGAUGCUACACUAAGAACCUUACCUGGGCUGAGACAUGUAGGUAGUAGUGAAGCGAAAGCGGAACGACCCUUCGGGGAGCCUACACAGGUGCUGCAUGGCUUUCGUCAGUUCGUGCCGUGAGGUGUCGGGUUAAGUCCCGUAACGGACGCAACCUGCGCCCUUAGUAACAUGUGUAUAAGGGGACUGCCCGGGACAACUGGGAGGAAGGUGGGGAUGACGUCAAGUCAGCAUGCCCUUAAGUCCCAGGGCAACACACACGCUACAAUGGCCGGUACAAUGGGUCGCCAAGCCGUGAGUCGGAGCCAAUCCCCCAAAGCCGGUCUAAGUUCGGAUUGUGGGCUGCAACUCGCCCAUAUGAAGCUGGAGUUGCUAGUAACCGCGCGUCAGCAAUAGUGCGGUGAAUACGUUCCCGGGCCUUGUACACACCGCCCGUCACGUCAUGGAAGCUGGCAACACCUGAAGCCAGUGAGCUAACCCGCAAGGGGGGCAGCUGUC